rnacentral:rRNA from 1 species
GACGAACGCUGGCGGCGUGCUUAACACAUGCAAGUCGAACGGUGAUGCUCCAGCUUGCUGGAGUGGAUCAGUGGCGAACGGGUGAGUAACACGUGAGCAACCUGCCCCAGACUCUGGAAUAAGCGCUGGAAACGGCGUCUAAUACUGGAUACGAAACUGGCCCGCAUGGGCAUGGUUUGGAAAGUUUUUCGGUUUGGGAUGGGCUCGCGGCCUAUCAGCUUGUUGGUGAGGUAAUGGCUCACCAAGGCGACGACGGGUAGCCGGCCUGAGAGGGCGACCGGCCACACUGGGACUGAGACACGGCCCAGACUCCUACGGGAGGCAGCAGUGGGGAAUAUUGCACAAUGGGCGAAAGCCUGACGCAGCGACGCCGCGUGAGGGAUGACGGCCUUCGGGUUGUAAACCUCUUUCAGCAGGGAAGAAGCGAAAGUGACGGUACCUGCAGAAGAAGCACCGGCUAACUACGUG